rnacentral:lncRNA from 1 species
AGUUCUCACCGUUCGUCAUGGCGGCUGGCCCUGGACCUGGGUAGGGGGUCCGGGUUCAGUGGUAAUAGCGGCGGAGAUGGGGGAGCGCCCGCUUGACACUUCCCGAUCCGGGCCGAGGUGACUGGAAGAAGCCGUAGUACGCAGGAGCAAGGGCCGAGAGGCGAGCGCCGAACGCUAUCAGGAGUGGCUAGCCGAUUGUCGAGCUCGGGAAACUGCGUGUUUACGUAGGGUAAGAAGAACGCUAUCUCGAAGGCUUCGUACUUGGCCGUGGUAACUAAGUCUUUUCUGCGUGCCCCUGCGGGCGUAGGGCUGGGGCUGGCCCGCGUCAGUGUGUUUGAAAAGGUAAAGGCUUGUAGUUUUGUAGUUUAUUUUGCGCCGUGGCGGCUGCUGUGUGUAAGCAGCAGCCUACCUAUGAGGUUUUCAUCGUCCUGGGCUUCCACUUGAGAGAACUCCAGCACCGCGGGUGAAGAAGCCGCACCUGCGGCCUCCGUGACUGCCCUUGAGCUGCUCUUCCUUACUCCGGAUGGAAAUCUAGUCAGACUGCGUCUGAACGUUGCAAAUGAAAUGAGGAACCUUGUAACAAAAACAAGUCGCGGCCGGGCGCGGUGGUUCACGCCUGUAAUCCCAGCACUUUGGGAGGCCGAGCCAGGCGGAUCACCUGAGGUCGGAGUUCGAGACCAGCCUGACCAACAAGGAGAAACCCCGUCUCUACUAAACAUACAAAAUUAGCCGGGCGCGGUGGCUCAUGCCUGUAAUCUAAGCACUUUAGGAGGCCGAGGCAGGCGGAUCACCUGAGAUCGUAGUUCGAGACCAGCCUGACCAACAUGGAGAAACCCCGUCUCUACUACAAAUACAAAAUUAGCCGGGCAUGGUGGCUCAUGCCUGUAAUGUAAUCCCAG